rnacentral:rRNA from 1 species
ACUCAAAGGAAUUGACGGGCACCCGCACAAGCGGUGGAGCAUGCUGUUUAAUUCGAAGAUACGCGAAGAACCUUACCUAGAUUUGACAUCCCGGGCAAAGCUAUAGAAAUAUAGUGGAGGCUAUCCCGGUGACAGGUGGUGCAUGGUUGUCGUCAGCUCGUGUCGUGAGAUGUUCGGUUAAGUCCGAUAACGAGCGCAACCCUCGUCAUUAGUUACUAACAGGUUAAGCUGAGGACUCUAAUGAGACUGCCGGUGAUAAACCGGAGGAAGGUGGGGAUGAGGUCAAAUCAUCAUGCCCCUUACAUCUAGGGCUACAGGCGUGCUACAAUGGCCGAUACAAAAAGACGCAAUACCGCGAGGUGGAGCUAAUCUCUAAAAUCGGUCCCAGUUCGGAUUGAAGUCUGCAACUCGACUUCAUGAAGUUGGAAUCGCUAGUAAUCUUGAAUCAGAAUGUCAAGGUGAAUACGUUCCCGGGUGUUGUACACACCGCCCGU